GAAGUGAAAGCAAAAGACGAGGUAAGGUAUAAAAAGCUGCCUCGUCUAUAAACACCUUCUGCAAAUACACUCCAGUCCACAGAGCUCACAGGUGAGGUGACACAGAAAGAAAGAAGAAUGAGCUUCUGGAUGUCAGGGACGCCACAGUGUCAGUGCCACUGCGGUGGCCAAGGACAACAAAGAAACGUAGUCCCAUACAACACUCAAAUGCAGAACGCACUACAGUGCCAACAAAGACAAAACACUGUUAUGAUGCCACAAAUCAUCAGCGACUCUGAUGAUGAGGAAGAAUUUUCUUAUACGCACAGAAAGAAGGUCACUGUGCUCACUAAGAACGGACCACGGCGUGUCCAAUACACUCAACGCUUUGAUUUCUCUCCCUGCUGAACUUCUGAAGAAACACCACAAGCAUGAAUUUCAAGUUUCACCUGCAAUGAUGUCAGAUCUUAAUGUCUGAUGACUCUGUGUUGAUCUUGAGUUGUUUUUUUUUUGACAUUUAAAGAACUCAUUAAAUAGUAACAGGCUUAUGUCGGUGUUAUUCCAUGGUGUCUGUGAUGAGCUGAUUGGUUUACUCUUUUUAUAACUGCAUCAUUUUGGGAGCUGAUCUCAUUUACAUGUAAGCAUUUAAAUGAAGUAGUUAUUUACUAUCUUGCUACUUUUUUGAUGCUUAAUGUUUCUUUAUUAAUCUAUGUUUUAAAGUAAACUAUAUGUAGAAUGUUAUUAGUUUUUAAUUGGGCUCUUGGGUUGAAUAUAUGUUGUAUUCAUAACAUAAUUUUACUUAUAACCUUAAAAAUAAUUUAAUGCACAAAAAGUAUGCAUUUUUUAACCAUCAUUAACAAGGAGUUAGAUCAUGAUUAAGCUGAUCAUUAAAGGGGUCAGGUCUUAUAAAGUGCUGCCACAUUUAAGAAAGACAAUUGUUAGCUGAAAUAAAUUGUUAAUCUGGGAAAGUGUCUGAAUUUUCUCAGUCAGGGAGAUUCUGAACAGCUGGGCAAGCCCACCUUCAGGAGCCCCCUCAAGUUCAGCUCAGUGCUCAGUCUUGGGUUCUCUUUGUAAAGUAAAGAACUCAUACAUUAAAGUAUAUACUCUGAAAUGUGCUGUGAACUUGUCUUUUUUGUAUCAUCUAUGGAAAUCAAUUGUUUUUACAGAACAUUACUGUCAGAAUAAAACCUCAUAUAUAU